GACAUCGGCCGGCCCAGUCUCCUUUACAAGUUUGCACCUCUGAGUGAAGGCUAGUCUAUUCAGGUAAAUGGGGCCUCACUAAUCUCAGUCUGGUGGCAGACCCCAACCUGCUACCUUCUUACAGACAUCCAGCCCAGGGAGUGGCAAUAGGCUUGCAAUGUUAGGGAGUUGUUAUGUUAGGGAGUGUGCUGAGGAGGGCUGCACAGAUGAGGAAUGGUGGGAGUCUCUCCCUGCUCCUGCUCAGGAUCCUGAAUCUUCCCAGGAGCAGUGGGACAGUAUAGAUUUGGAACAGUGGUUCGCAGAGGGACACACUUCAGAAGACUGAAGUUGGGAAGAACUGGGUGGGGAACAGCUUGGAGGAGAAGACCUGGGAGAGAUAGAAUUAACAGACUCCCUUUCGCUGGAAAGCAUCCAUCCACUCAGCCCAAGGUCAAGGAGAGCAGAUAAGGUGACUGCACAGAAAGCCCAAUGGUUGUGAGAUCAGGUUGCAAGAUGCAGAAGUGAUGUGGUUGACUAGGGGGGAAAUGGGUGGAAUCCUGAAUUGGGAGCACCUUCAUUCCUAGAAUUGGAUUCUUUGUUCUCUCGCUAUGAUCAUAAAAUUUCUAACUGGUAAGAGACACCUUUCGCUUUGUUUUGCUUAUCUACUGCCAAAGGGGUGGCGGCGGAAGCCGGGUCUCUGAAGCCCAGCAUGUAUAUUCACUCACUCACUCACUCACUCACUCACUCAUAAAGACAGUCAGUUACUCAAUCUUUAUUGCUUCACCAUAGGUCACCGUGGAAAACAGUAAGUAGAAUGAAACCUGCACUUUGGAACUCCCUGCCCACCCCCUUUUUCUGCAUAGUUUUUGGUGCCUGCUAAAAAUUGUUUCUUUGAGGAAGCCCACCCAGAUAAAUCUGACAGGUAUUUUAAUAUGUAAUCUUAUUUUAUAAUGUGUGUGUGUGUGUGUGUGUGUGUGUGUGUGUGUAUAUAUAUAUAUAUAUAUAUAUAUAUAUAUAUAUAUAUAUAUGGUUGGUUUUAUUUUGGGGAGAAAAUUAGACUUAACUUGCUUUUAAUAGCUUGGUUUAUAGGCAACAUUGAUGUUUAGAGGUUUUUGAUGAUUAAGUGGUAUAUAAAUCCCUUUAAACAAGCCAGCUGUUCUCAACCUGUGGGUCCUCAGAUGUUGUUGGACCACAACUCCCAUCAUCGCUGAGCUCUGGCCUUACUAGCUAGGGGUGAUGGGAGUUGUAGUUCAACAACAUCUGUGGGACCCAAAGGUUGAGAAAUGCUGCCCUAGGCUCUGUGGUUUAGACCACAGCGCCACCCGCGUCACAGAUAGAUAGACAGAUGAAUGCAAAGUCCAAUGCUGGCUGGCAUCCAAUGAGAAAAGGCAAUCUUUAAUGGGUUGUACUUUGUAGCUUUCAAUACCAAGGACUAAAUAAAUACUCGAACUGUUAAAAAUAAUGCAAGGAGGUUCUGAAUGAUGCCUGGGAGGUGAGAAGACAAAAAGAAAAACCUGCAAGCAAGCAACAGCAGGAAAAGCAACAAUCAACUGUACCUCUUGCUGCCAAAGUGAAAAUUGAAUCUCUCCAAGUCCUAGAAAGCCACAUGUCUAACCCAUAGCCAGAAAAGCCACAACUGCUGUCACACUGCAGGCAUAUCUGUAUCCGAGACUUAAAACAGGCUUGAGAUGCAUUAGCCAAGCCUACAGAAUCCUGGAGACCGUAGAUCUGGAAAGGGGUCUGUGUCAGAAUUUAUCAGUAGCCCUCCCCCUUUCAUUCCCCCGAGGAGCAGAAUGGACAAUGUUUUGAGCCAGAAAUGAGGGAAACACCUCUCAGCUAAGAGAUGGAAAUUGCAAGACUGGAAGGAUAAACAUCCCCCAUCUACUGUGCCUUAGUCUGAACCAUCUCACAACCCUUUCUAACGUUUGAAUGCAUCGCAUAUAUAUAUAUAUAUAUAUAUGCAUCAAUCUCAUUUCUAAACCUAUCUGGACAUGCAUUUUAUUUAUCAUUUGUUGAAUUUGUAUCCUGCACAAGGGGGACAAACAGAUGCACAAUUUAAAAGCAGAAACAAUGCAAGUAAAUAUUCUAAAAUAACAAUAAUAGCCGGAAAAGAAUUGCCGUUAAAAGCAUCCAGAAGCAGUUAUGGUUAAAAACAUUUUCCCAUCCAAUGAUCUCAGGUUUGCUAGGAACACGAUCCUUCAGCCAAGUGCCUAAGUAAACAGGAAAGUUAUCAAAUUCCUCCUAAAAGUUCGUAAUGAUGGAGCUAGGCGACUCUCCCUAGGGACGACAUUCCACAACCAGAGACUGCUUACAUUAACCUAUGCAUCUAUAUUAGGGUUUUAUUGUCAAUACCAGCUGGUGCUGUUUUUAUUCUCCCCAUCUUUCUUCCUUUUUUUUUUGUUAUAUUUGCAAAUAAAAUAUUUUUAAAAAAAAAACAAAAAAGCAAUGAGAGAAAAUGAUCCAAAAUAAAAUGUUUCCAUUUAACAUUAGCUAGGUAUCCUCAGUGAGAUGUUUGGGGGGAUGAGGGAGAAAUGAACACCUCACCGGUUUUCCAGAUGUUUCUCUCCUGGAGCAUACUGUUAGCGCACACCCAGUGAUGGAGCUGCAUGGUUUAUUUAUUUCAUUUUUUAAAAAUACGCAUCGCCCACGUGUUUGGUAUAGGCACAAAAAGCACAACCCAAACCGCUGCCAACCAAAUCUUAAAAUAACAACCCCGCAUAGUAAAACAGGCUGUCAAAUGAACAAAAAGGCCAUCGAUCAAGCUAAGCAGUUAAAGAGAAUGGGACAGAUCAGCGGAGAAUCCCUUUGCAAAGUUCAGGAAUGGUAAGAAAGGUCAGCUCCAGUCGUUCCCCCUAAGUCAGAGGAGGGGAACAGUUUCUCAGCCCAAAAUGACCCUUCCGGGGAGCUGCAUGCAGAAGAGAAUUUAAGGCAUCCUGACUGGCUCCCUCACACUGGGGCUGAGCCAAGGAUUGUGCAGCAGGGCACCACAAGAAGAAGAGAGUUUGGAUUUGAUAUCCCGCUUUAUCACUACCCGAAGGAGUCUCAAAGCGGCUAACAUUCUCCUUUCCCUUCCUCCCCCACAACAAACACUCUGUGAGGUGAGUGGGGCUGAGAGACUUCAGAGAAGUGUGACUGGCCCAAGGCCACCCAGCAGCUGCAUGUGGAGGAGCAGGGAAGCGAAGCCGGUUCACCAGAUUACGAGUCCACCGCUCUUAACCACUACACCACAACAAUUAUGUAGCGCAGGGCUCAGCAACCUUUUUCAGUCAUGGGCCAGUCCACCAUCCCUCAGACCAUGUGGUGGGCCGGACUAUAUAUACUUUUUGGGGGGGGGGAAAUGGACGAAUUCCUAUGCCCCGCAAAUAACCCAGAGAUGCAUUUUAAAUAAAAGCACACAUUCUACUCAUGUAAAAACACCAGGCAGGCCCCACAAACAACCCAGAGGUGCAUUUCGAAUAAAAGGACACAUUCUAUUCAUGUAAAAACACACUGAUUCUCGGACCGUCUGCGGGCCAGAUUUAGAAAGCGAUUGGGCCACAUCUGCCCCCUGGACCUUAGGUUGACUACCUCUGAUGUAGCGCAUGCACAGAAUGGAAGGCGAGAAGUGCCCCAAUUUUGGGCUCUCACAGGGUGCCACUGAAAUUUGGAAGACCCAAGUCCACCCCUGUUGCAGGUGUCACCUGGAGCGAUAUUAGCACCAACCUGAAGCAUCCUUGACCUUGCCCAACCGCCACUGGGAAGAUGCUCCCCACCCUCUGCUCCCACUCACUUUGCAUCAUUGCAAAGGAGGUUUAUUAUAGAAGACAACCACCUCUCACAAUGUUUGCAAGAAACCAUCACAAGACUCAGCACGGACAACACACUCAGCAAAGAAAUCAAGGCAGUCUCCUGGGUUCCGAGAAGCCGAGCGCAGAGACACUUUCAAAAAGCACAAAGUCACGGGACGGUGGCAUUUUUAGAAAAGCAAGUUAAUCAUUCCAGUACCUUAAUUAGCACCUUCCUUCAACAUCCACGAAGAAGUGAGGAAACUGUUUUGCAGAGAAAUAAAGGGUAUCCAUCCUAGAAAUGAAACAGCAUUAAAACAGUUAUUAGAAUUCGGAAGGAUUCAGUUCAUUUUGCACAAUAUUAAAGUUAAAAUGCCAAGACAAAUGACUCAUUCCUCCUCAUAAGGAAAAAAAAUGUCGGAAAGUUUUAAGAUUUUAUUGUCUUCAUAAUUGCACAUUUCCAUAUAUUACUGAAAGCUUUCUUUCUCCCCUGGUCUAAGCAUCUUGGUGCCAACAGAUUACACGGUCAGCACAUUCAAACGCUAAAGUUUGUCUAUGGAUUCUGCCACCGUAGGCUGCAGAUAGGAUAUUAAUUAUUGGAAGACUUCCCCUUGUUGGGGGAAAACUCUCCACAUGGAGAAAAAUAGCCUGUGAGGAGAAAAUUGUAUGUGGCACCCUGCUAGAAAGUGAAAAAUAUGGGCAGGCUGUUCGGUUUCCAUAUAGCCAGCACCCUUCUCCCUACUAUUUAGAAACAUACAAUCUAAAGCAAUUAGUUUUAUUUAGAUAUUUGUAUGCCACCCUUUGCACAAGCCACAAGGAUGUUUGCAGCUGACAGAUUAAAAUCUAUGAAAGCCAUGAAAUAAUACAAUCUUUUUUAAAGAAGCAGAUAACAUAUCACUAAAUAAAGGUAACCAAUAGCAGCUGCAUAAGUGAUCAGGUUUCCUGCUGCUGAAAAACAAGUUUCUUAACUAACCACCUAAAACUGUAGAGAGAUGGGGCCAGACACAUCUCAGUAGGGAGGGAGAGCCACAUGUAAGGGGCCACCACUGAAAAGGCCCUUUCCUGGGACCCUACACCACAUACAGUUGUACCUUGGUUUAAUCCCUUCCGGGAGUCGGUUCGACUCCUGAAAUGGUUUGACAACCAAGGCACAGCUUCCGAUUGGCUGCAGGAGCUUCCUGCAGCCGAUUGAAAACCGCGUCAGAUGUUCGGCUUCCAAAAAAACAUUCACAAACCGGAACACUCACUUCCGGGUUUGCAAUGUUCAGUAGCUGAUUUGUUCAACAGCUAAGGCGUUCGACUACCAAGGUACCACUUUGUUUCGCAGUAAGAAGGGUGCACCCGGAGGGCAACAUCUGCUGAUCUUAGGGCACAGGGAAGGUGGACAUAACAGAACUUGCUGCAUGUAAUGGAAAAUUACAGAAUGCAAUGGAACUUGUUUCCUAAUAAUAAUAAUAAUAAUAAUAAUAAUAAUAAUAUUUUAUUUAUACCUCGCCCUCCCGGGCCAGAGCCAUGCUCAGGGCGGCUAACACCAGUAAAAUUACAAUAAAAACAUAAUGGGGGGGGGGGACCAAUUUAAAAUACAGGUUAAAAUACAAUUUAAAAAGCAGCCACAUUUUAAUAAUAGCCCAUAGAUUAAAACCGUAAGAGGAGGGAAACAUAAGGAUCAGACUGAGUCCAAACCAAAGGCCAGGCGGAACAGCUCUGUCUUGCAGGCCCUGUGGAAAGAUGUCAAGUCCCGCAGGGCCCUAGUCUCUUGUGACAGAGCAUUCCACCAAGUUGGGGCCAGUACUGAAAAGGCCCCGGCCCUAGUUGAGACCAAUCUAACCACCUUGCGACUUGGGACCUCCAAAAUGUUGAGGACCUUAAGCCACCGACAGUCCGUGGACGCGAUGACUCGGCUUGCACCAUUGCGCCCACUCCCCGACUGUGAAAGGCCUUUUUUAAAGGCCGGAUCGGAGUGCCGGGGAGCGGCGUGGUGCUGAGUCCUCUGCUUUCCCCUGCCGGCGCAGCCACAUGCCAUUCGGCCAGGAGCGCUGACUUCUUCAUUGAAAAUUUGGACUAUGCUCAACAACCCGUGGUAAUUGGGAAACGGGUUCAAAAUUUGGUUAGCCUGACAGAGGCGAUUUAAAAGAAGUCAGUCCCCUAUGGCUUGUUCCAAAACAAGGACUGGAGUAACCAGGUCCAAAGGGAAAUGAUCUUGAUAAAAACCAUUAACUACGAUGAGUGUAGAACUGUGCUGGAGGGUGGUGAAGAAAAACCACAGCCCCCCUGGGGGCUGAGCGUGAGCCUGGUGAAGAAAUGGAGGGCUGACUGGCUGUUAAAGUGGCUGUCAAAAGUUGGGAAUAUAAGAGAUUUUAUUGCUAGGACUUUGCCCGGUUGGGCUUUUUGCUACACAAUUUGCUACAAUAUGAGUUAUAAACUGUUGGAAAAUAAGCAACAAUUUGACUUUGGAUUAGAGGAUACAGUUAUUACAAUCCACAGAGGGUUUCAGGAUAUUAAGAACGGUGUGGUGGAAAAAAUGCUCUGGGACUCACAGGACAUUUAUCUUUUAGGAAGCUGCAGGCUGAGUGUUUGUCUACAGGUGUUAUUACAUUGGAGACAAUGAAUUUUCUAUUGAAGAAAGGAAGGACUGGACAGUAAGUUUUGUUCCUGGAUAACAAGCCUCUGCAGACCCUUGAAUUUCUGAAUAUAAGUUUAGCAGCUAGACCAGGACAGAAACCUGAGAAAGUGAAAGAAAGACAAAGGACUGAUUACGACACAGGAAAGAACAGCAGGAGGAGUGGUAAAGAUCAAAGGAAAUUAAAGGCCUUUGUUAGGUGGAUGCCAGAAAUUCCAUAUUAUUAAUAAAUUAAAAAACCAGCAGAUGAUCAGGAAAAAUUUAGUCAUGAAUUGAGACUUCCAAGCUGAUAUAGACUGAUGGAUGUAGAAUUCAAACCGGGGAAGGGGGGAGAUUUAAAUCAAAGGCUGUGCAACCUUCUUUGGAAUUUUCCUCUUAUUUUUUAUUUUUACCUUUACGCAUGUGUUCUUUGAUUGGACGUGUUUAAAAAGAGGUGAUGGAAGGAACGGAGGGUGGAUCUUGAGGGAAAAUCUUUUUCUUUUUCUCUUAUUGUGGAUGUGAAUGUUGUAGAUUUGUACAAUUCAAUUUGGAUGGGUUCGCUCAUUAAGCUUCAAAUUGGGAGUGAGAGCUUAGAACUAAAUUAGGAAAGAGGAAUACAGUCGGGGAGGUCCCAGAAGUAGGCAAUGAAAAGUAGGAUUUUUAAAUAUCUUUUUUUUCUUCACUGUUUCUUUGUAUUUUUAUAUUUUUGGAAACUUUAAUAAAUAUGAUUUAAAAAAAAAAAAAAACAAAAUGUUGUCAUCUGUGGACCUUAAGGUCCUCUGUGGGGUAUACCAGGAGAGGCGAUCCCGUAGUUACAUGGGUCCUAGGCCGUAUAGGGGUUUAAAGGUCGAAACCAGCACCUUAAACCUGACCCUGUACUCCACUGGGAGCCAGUGCAGUUGGUAAAGCACUGGAUGAAUGUGAUCCCGCGGCGAGGACCCCAUAAGAAGCCUCGCUGCGGCAUUCUGCACCCACUGGAGUUUCUGGGUCAGCUUCAACGGCAGCUAGAAAGGGUUUUUAGCUAUGCCUUUGCUACGAUGGCUGCUGCAAGCAAAUUUCAUGCCUAAGAUCUCCUUGAGGCCCUUCUAUGAGACCCUCACCUAGGCUGGAAGCAUAGCUAGUGGGACAAAAAGGAGGGAGUUACACCUCGAUUAUGCAGACCAUGUCCUGCUAAGUGGAACAUUGCUAGCUGCCCUUCUGCUGUAGCAGGAGCUGUAUUUAUGGGCAGCAUCGUAACUAAUGUCUCCCUUUAAUGGCAGGCAUCACCUUCUCCUGUCACUUUGCAGAGACACAGGGAAACAAAUAAGCCUUGGGAAAAAAGCUGAUAUUCUAUCAGGUGGUAAUAGGCUUAAGCGUUCGCCCUUCCAGAGCCUCGGACUCGGUGCCUGCCUCCGUCGCUCCUAAAAAUGCUUUGAUCAGUGCUAAAGUCUUUCCAGAGAUUGCAGCUCCUUCUGCAGAGCAUAUCUGAAGAUGCUGGGGACUGAAAUUAGAAUCUUCUGCAGAAGUGGUGCUUCAGGUUAAGAACAGUUUCAGGUUAAGAACGGACCUCCGGAACCAAUUAAGUACUUAACCUGAGGUACCACUGUAGUUUGGUCGGAAGGCAAGUCCCAGUCCUUUGGUUGACAGCCACAAGUCCUCUUCGCUGCCAUCGCUCCACAAUCUUCCCUUUAGCUCCUCACGCAACGCACAGGAGGCACGUAGCCCUGUGUCCUAAAGUGUGAAGGACAAACUGCAAAGCUACAGUGACAAACGUCGCCAUUGCAGAUUGCAGCCGGUGAUUCUUUCAGACAGUUUGUCAUUCCUUUGCCAUUGUUAGUGCUGGUGUGCCGUUUGCCUGCUGUAUAAUGUACAAGGGAGAUGGGACCCACGAUAAGCUCAUAAGUUGCACUCACAGCCUUUGCUAUGUUCUUUGGGAUUUUACCCAGUACGGACGGGAGUGGGGGCCAAGUAACAGGGCUGGCCUUCCAACCUGCCAUUGGCAGAGGGGAUGGGAGUUGUCUUGCAGCCGCCAUCUUUCUUUGGCCUUACUGGGUAGAGUUGCCACACAAUUAGCUGACUUCACGACACUUUCCACCCUUGUUCUGGCAUCUUAAGGGAAGUGUCAUAAGCUCAGUGGCAGAGCCUGUGCUUGGCAUGCAGAAGGUCCAUUGGAUAAUCUUGCUGUGUCAGGCUUCAGAGAAUUGGCUUCCUUCCCCGUCCCCCUUCAUUGGAGCAAGGCAAAAAUGUGUCCCCCAAUUUUCUCCCUCUUCCCAUAAUACAAGAUCUCUGGACAUCCAGUAAAGUGAAAGGAUGUAAGAUCUAGGACAGAUAAAGAACUUCUUCUCACAGUGCCUGGUUAAACUAAAGCAUAUAAAUACCGUAUUUUUUGCUCUAUAAGACUCACUUUUUCCCUCCUAAAAAGUAAGGGGAAAUGUGUGUGCGUCUUAUGGAGCGAAUGCAGGCUGCACAACUAUCCCAGAAGCCAGAACAGGAAGAGGGGUCGCUGCUUUCGCUGCACAGCAAUCCCUCUUGCUGUUCUGGCUUCUGAGAUUCAGAAUAUUUUUUUUCUUGUUUUCCUCCUCCAAAAACUAGGUGUGUCUUAUGGUCUGGUGCGUCUUAUAGAGCGAAAAAUACGGUAUAACAUGGGGGAGAAGAGAGGGGGUGGUAAGAUUACAUUCUUUUACUUAGUGUAUGUGUGGGGGUUUUGUGUCAGCGUCACUUGGGCGGGUUCUCUUUCUAUUCAUUAAUUAUUUUUCCUCAGCAGUUGGUGGGGGGCAGGGCAUGGUUGAUUGCAGUGGUUGAGAGCCAGUGUGGUGUAGUGGUUAAGAGCGGUAGUCUCGUAAUCUGGGAAACCGGGUUCGCGUCUCCGCUCCUCCACAUGCAGCUGCUGGGUGACCUUGGGCCAGUCACACUUCUCUGAAGUCUCUCAGCCCCACUCACCUCACAGAGUGUUUGUUGUGGGGGAGGAAGGGAAAGGAGAAUGUUAGCUGCUUUGAGACUCCUUCGGGUAGUGAUAAAGCGGGAUAUCAAACCCAAACUCUUCUUCUUUAGUUGACUGCAGCAAGUGUUGUUUGCUACCUCAGCUGUCAGAGGCAAUAUGCCUCUAAUUCCCCUUUGAUGGGAAACACAAGUAGGGAGAGGGCUGUUUCUCUCAGGUCCUGUUUGUGGGCUUCCUGUAGGCCAGUGGUUUUCAACCAGUGUGCCGUGGCACACUGGGGUGCCUUGAAUGAUGGUUGGGGGUGCCGCAAGCAACAUUGGCCUCUGUCCCCCUUUCCUUCCCUCCCUCCUCUGAAGCCCUCUCUCGUCUCUGCCUCCCAAAGGCUUGCACAGCUGUUUGCUGCAGUAGCCCUGACUGCAAGCUCCCCAGACGAAUGGUGCCUCAGGCUGGCCAGGGGGUGCUGGUUGCCAGGAGCUGAGGUGGACUCAGGGUAAACAAACAAGUGGGUUAUAGAUGCCAGGCAGGCCCUGGCCUUUCUUGUGCUUGCUGUGUGCAAGGUCUGCCUAGGAGCAGGUCUGAAGGGGAGCCUUCCGGCUGCCACCACCUCCCAAGGUAAAGUGCUGGCCUCACAUUCACCGUUGGCCAGUCUCCCUUGGGCCACUAAGGCUGGGGGCAUCCUCUUCCCAGGCCCUUGUGGGGCAGUGUGAGGAGGCACCUCUCUUUGGGACGGGUGGCGGUGGCUCAGAGGCCAGGGUGGCAGCAGCGGCUGCCCAGACGACUCCCAAGGAGAGGAGAGGAGGCUGAGGGAACACUCCACAAGGGAGCGUGUUCGAAAAAGGGUGAGAGGCUGCCAGCUCUGCAGGCAAGGGGUGACGUUACUUUGCUCCUGAGCCCCACAGGGGUGUCAAAGAAAGAAUGUAGUUGGUCAAGGGAGCCAUGGAAUCAAAAGCUUGAAAACCUCUGCCAGAGGUACCUGGUUGGCCGCUGUGAGAGCAGAAUGCUGGUCUAAGAUGGGCCACUGGAAUGAUCCAGCGGCCCAUUCUUAUAUACAGUGGACGCUCGGGUUGCGAAUGUGAUCUGUGCGGGAGGCACGUUCGCAACCUGCAGCAUUUGCAACCCACGCGUCUGCGCACGCCCGGGUCACGAUUCAGCGCUUCUGCACAUGCGCUAGCACCAAAACCUGGAAUAAUAAAUAAAUAAAUUUUUAUUUAUACCCCACCCUCCCCAGCCAAGACCGGGCUCAGGGCAGCUAACAACCAAUAAUAAAAACAAGUUGAUUAAAAUGCAAUUUAAAAGAUUAAGAUACAACAUUAAAACAUUAGGAUGCAGCCUCUUCACAGGAGGAGAAAGGAAAAAGAAAGAGGGGGAGAGAAUCAAACUGAUUCUAAGCCAAAGGCCAGGCAGAACAACUCUGUCUUACAGGCCCUGAGGAAAGAAAUCAGAUCCUGCAGGGCCCUAGUCUCAUGAGACAGAGCAUCCCACCAGUGUUGAAAAGGCCCUGGCUCUGGUUGAAGCUAAUCUAACUUCCUUAGGGCCUGAGACCUCUAGGGUGUUGGACCUUAAGGUCCUCUGUGGGGCAUACCGAGAGAGGCGGUCCCGUAGGUAUGAGGGUCCUGGGCCAUGAAGGGCUUUAAAGGUCAAAACCAGCACCUUGAACCUGACCCUGUACUCCACCGGGAGCCAGUGCAGCUGGAAAAGCACUGGGUGAAUAUGCUCCCAUGGCAGAGACCCUGUGAGGAGCCUCGCUGCAGCAUUCUGCACCCGCUGGAGUUUCUGGGAGAGCUUCAAGGGCAGCCCCGCGUAGAGUGAAUUACAGUAGUCAAGCCUGGAGGUGACUGCCGCAUGGAUCACUGUGGCCAGGUUGGGGCGGGACUUCCAGGUUUGGUACAGUGCACAACCCGAAAUUGUGCAUUCCGAAGCAUCUGUAAUCCAAGGUAUGACUGUAUAUAUAUAUAUAUAUAUAUUUGUGAGAAAUGCUACACACAUUCCAUAACUGGGUCUGGUACAACAGAUGCCUUGGGUCAUUCCAAUUCCCUUAUUACAACUAUGCCUUAUGUUAAAUGAAUAUUCUCCUAUUCUAUAUAAAUUAUAAAAGGUACAAGUACAUUUUUCUUUUGGUAAUAUUAAUAUGCCACACAACUGCAAGCUUCUCCCCUCUUUCCUUUCCUUUCCUUUUUAUUUUUUUAGGAACUGAGCAAUGUAUGACUGUGUUGUGAGUGGAACAUGACUGGGCUACUAGCAAUUCCCCCAUCAAAAAUUAGAGAUGACUGCAAUUUGGUAGUGAUUCAAGGAAAAAAUUCUCCUGAAUGGCUAGACAGCUACUUGGAUUCUGAUCAGCUAAUCAAUUAUCUAUCAUGUAUACGGAUAGUGAACUCAGGUGCUGACUUAUGACAGCUGGCUUGCCAAAAGAGGGCUACUGAGAAAGAAGAGGUGGAUAUUAGCAGGUUCGGAGUAAACUCAUGUUUUGCAGAAAUACAAAAACCUUAGGAGAAAAGAACCACAAACAAGAGGGGCAGAAAUAAAAGCAGAUCAUUGAGGACUGUGCAUGACCAGUGGUCAGGAGAUUGCUGUGUGCCUGUUGCAGGAAGGAAUGAAAUGGAAAAGCAGGGCAGGGCAGGGAAUAGAGUAUCCCGGAGACAGCCAUAGCUGGCUGGCUGGAACAGAAUGCAUCCCAUUCUGCAACAUUCUGUUGCAGUUCCCACUUGUGGGGAAUUAUAAGAAGAGCACAAGAAGAUCAGACCAAGCUCCUGAUCUUUUCAGAGAGGCAGGAAAUAGAAGAAAAGUGG